rnacentral:rRNA from 1 species
UCAGGGAGAAGUCUCUUCGGGGAUGAUUAAACCGGCGCACGGGUGAGUAACACGUGAGUGACCUGCCUUUUAGACUGGAACAACUUACCGAAAGGUGAGCUAAUGCCGGAUGAGUUAUAUAAGUGCAUGUUUAUAUAGGAAAAGUUGGGGAGACCUGACGCUGAAAGAUGGACUCGCGUCCCAUUAGCUAGUUGGUAGGGUAAUGGCCUACCAAGGCGACGAUGGGUAGCCGGCCUGAGAGGGUGGCCGGCCACACUGGGACUGAGACACGGCCCAGACUCCUACGGGAGGCAGCAGUGGGGAAUUUUGCGCAAUGCUCGUAAGAGUGACGCAGCGACGCCGCGUGAAUGACGAAGGCCUUCGGGUCGUAAAGUUCUUUCGACAGGGAAGAAAAUGCCUAUAAGUAACUGUGUAUGUAUUGACGGUACCUGUAUAAGCAGCCCCGGCUAACUCCGUGCCAGCAGCCGCGGUAAUACGGAGGGGGCGAGCGUUGUUCGGAGUGACUGGGCGUAAAGAGCACGUAGGCGGUGUUGUAAGUCAUUAGUCAAAGACUAGAGCUCAACUUUAGUAAGGCUAGUGAUACUAUAAUACUAGAGUAUCAGAGAGGAUUGCAGAAUUCCUGGUGUAGCGGUGAAAUGCGUAGAUAUCAGGAGGAAUACCGUUAGCGAAGGCGGCAAUCUGGCUGGAAACUGACGCUGAGGUGCGAAAGCGUGGGUAGCAAACAGGAUUAGAUACCCUGGUAGUCCACGCUGUAAACGAUGGAUGCUAGGUGUUGGGCUUUUAAGUUCAGUGCCGCAGNCAACGCGAUAAGC